UACGUAGGGUGCGAGCGUUGUCCGGAAUUAUUGGGCGUAAAGAGCUCGUAGGCGGUGUGUCGCGUCGGCCGUGAAAACCUGCAGCUUAACUGUGGGCUUGCGGUCGAUACGGGCAUCACUGGAGUUCGGCAGGGGAGACUGGAAUUCCUGGUGUAGCGGUGAAAUGCGUAGAUAUCUGGAGGAACACCGGUGGCGAAGGCGGCAUCCUCGGACCAUGACUGACGCUGAGGAGCGAAAGCCAGGGGAGCAAACGGG
rnacentral:rRNA from 1 species